CCUACGGGGGGCUGCAGUGGGGAAUAUUGGACAAUGGGCGAAAGCCUGAUCCAGCCAUGCCGCGUGUGUGAAGAAGGCCUUCGGGUUGUAAAGCACUUUCAGUGGGGAAGAAAGCCUUGGGGCUAAUACCCUCGAGGAAGGACAUCACCCACAGAAGAAGCACCGGCUAACUCCGUGCCAGCAGCCGCGGUAAUACGGAGGGUGCGAGCGUUAAUCGGAAUUACUGGGCGUAAGGCGCGCGUAGGCGGUCUGAUAAGCCGGUUGUGAAAGCCCCGGGCUCAACCUGGGAACGGCAUCCGGAACUGUCAGGCUAGAGUGCAGGAGAGGAAGGUAGAAUUCCCGGUGUAGCGGUGAAAUGCGUAGAGAUCGGGAGGAAUACCAGUGGCGAAGGCGGCCUUCUGGACUGACACUGACGCUGAGGUGCGAAAGCGUGGGUAGCAAACAGGAUUAGAUACCCGUGUAGUC
rnacentral:rRNA from 1 species